GUCGAAGUGAUGGAACUGGCAUACAUAUUGGACUUAAAAUCCAAGUUUUGGGGGUUCAAAUCCCCUCUUCGACACCA
rnacentral:tRNA from 1 species